rnacentral:rRNA from 1 species
UACGUAGGGUGCAAGCGUUAAUCGGAAUUACUGGGCGUAAAGCGUGCGCAGGCGGUUGUGCAAGACAGAUGUGAAAUCCCCGGGCUUAACCUGGGAACUGCAUUUGUGACUGCAAGGCUAGAGUACGGCAGAGGGGGAUGGAAUUCCGCGUGUAGCAGUGAAAUGCGUAGAUAUGCGGAGGAACACCAAUGGCGAAGGCAAUCCCCUGGGCCUGUACUGACGCUCAUGCACGAAAGCGUGGGGAGCAAACAGG